GAGCACGCACGUCCGGACGUAACAAACACACCACACUGAAACGGAGAUCUCUCUCUUUCACCUCUGUACAGCCGAGGUCCAGAAUCCCUCCGGGGAAAAUGCCCCGCGGCGCCUGAGGGUGUCUGCCCUCCACCGAACCCACAGGUGAGCAGAGAAGUCCUGCCGCGGUCGCCAAAUGAAGCGAUAUUCGGACUAAAUAAAUAGACUCCACAACUCGAGGUAGUUAUGAAGUGGGUAUGUAUGGGAGCGCUCGGCACAAGUGAGAUCACUCUCCGAAGUCUUGUGCCCCGAGCUGAAGUUUGCCCCCUGACUUUAUUCACAAA